rnacentral:rRNA from 1 species
GAGAUUCACGAAGAAGUAUUGCGCUAUUUACCAGUGAGUGGUAUUAUUGGACUGAUCUUUUGGUGGGAAAUGUUCUUCAUUUUAGAUAAUGAAACCAUUCCAUUACUACCAACCCACAGAAAUACGACCUCUCUGAGAUAUACGGUUUAUGCCGGAAAGGUACGAAGUUGGACUAAUUUGGAAACAUUG